UGGCGGCGUGGAUAAGACAUGCAAGUCGAACGAGAGAAUUGCUAGCUUGCUAAUAAUUCUCUAGUGGCGCACGGGUGAGUAACACGUGAGUAACCUGCCCCCGAGAGCGGGAUAGCCCAGGGAAACUGGGAUUAAUACCGCAUAGUAUCGAAAGAUUAAAGCAGCAAUGCGCUUGGGGAUGGGCUCGCGGCCUAUUAGUUAGUUGGUGAGGUAACGGCUCACCAAGGCGAUGACGGGUAGCCGGUCUGAGAGGAUGUCCGGCCACACUGGAACUGAGACACGGUCCAGACACCUACGGGUGGCAGCAGUCGAGAAUCAUUCACAAUGGGGGAAACCCUGAUGGUGCGACGCCGCGUGGGGGAAUGAAGGUCUUCGGAUUGUAAACCCCUGUCAUGUGGGAGCAAAUUAAAAAGAUAGUACCACAAGAGGAAGAGACGGCUAACUCUGUGCCAGCAGCCGCGGUAAUACAGAGGUCUCAAGCGUUGUUCGGAAUCACUGGGCGUAAAGCGUGCGUAGGCUGUUUCGUAAGUCGUGUGUGAAAGGCGCGGGCUCAACCCGCGGACGGCACAUGAUACUGCGAGACUAGAGUAAUGGAGGGGGAACCGGAAUUCACGGUGUAGCA
rnacentral:rRNA from 1 species